AUAACAAAACGAUGACAGUUCAAACUAUUUACGUCUACAGAAAUCUGUCAAGCUUGCGCUUUAGUCAUAUUUUAAGUAUAUAAAGGGAUUUUCUCUGAAGCUAAUAUAUUUUAAUGUCAUCGGAAAUCCCCCUGGAAUAAAAUGAGCUAAUUCCUUUAAAAGCCUGAGGAAAAUAAAUAUUAGAUAUAGAUACAGUUGGUCUGCACGAUAGCAAGGUGUAAAUGGAGGCAAAUUCGUCAAUUUAUAUGCGGAACAAGCCUUUGAGAUGCCAAGCCACCUUUCUCAUAUCGACAAUUCUAUUAGUGUUUUGGUGUUUAAUUUAUAUAUAGACACUAGGAAGUCGUGUAUGUUAGUUAAGUUAAUUUAAGCUGUUUAGUUGGGUAAACAUUUCUUUUUUGAAAAAAGAUCGUAAGCUUAAUAUGAAUAAAUCGUUUUUCAAUUUUUCCUCCUCAAUAAAAUUACUUUGAGUUUCAGUAAUAAUUUUACUGUUUAAUUUGAACGAGUUGACUUUCUUAUCGAUUUUAAGCUACAUAAUUGUCGAAAGCAAAAAUGUUUGUCUUAAAAUUUAUUCAGACUAUUAAGCUAAUUUGAUUUUUAAUAAUUUGUUGUGAUUUCGUAUAUUAAUUGAUCUGCAUUUUGUAAUACAUUAUAGAUGAUACAAAGUUCAUAAUUCAUAACAUAGUUAACAGAAAAAAGUAUUAUUAUAACAUAAUAUAUAAUAUAUUAUAUAAAAUAUAUUUAUAAAGUAAUAUAAAAAGUGAAAAAACAAAGUCUUAUUUUGAUAUUUUACAAUUGCGAGUUUCGAAUUUCAUGAAAUGUUUAUUAUUUUAUAUUUUAAAGCCGAAUGACGGUUGUGCACACCAGACUAUUAAAGCAUAAAAGUCUUUGAAAUAUA